GCCGAAUCCGAUGUAGACGAUAUCGAAUAACAAUAUUUUUUUCUACCGAAGGAUGUCAGCUCUGUGUCUGAGAGAAAGAAGAGCAAGGCCACUGCCUCAGAUUCUGCAUCGGCUAAGAAACAGGUCAGCAAGGCGCUCUUCCCACGCCAAUAAAGACGAUGUCACUUGCCAGUAAGCAUAAACCUCAAAACAGCGGUUACCCAGAAGCAAUGCAGUUGUAAGAAAAUACUCGACUUUACCUUUCUCUUUGCAUUCAACACCUGCACAUAUCAUCAGUUCCAAGAACAGGUCAAUUCAGACUGAGAAGAGAAAGAUUGGUUAAGUGCAGAUUUCAUAGACUACUACUGAUCUGCUAUGUGUAAUAUUAUGGAGCUACCAACUACUCUAGACAAUAUGUGCCUUUGAUGCAUUGUGGAUGACGGAGUAGCUGUGACCCAUCUGUGUGUAAUAACAUAAGAUGUAAUCCAAUGUUCCACAAUAGCACGAAGAUAUCUACCA